rfam:Saccharibacter sp. AM169, AM168, WGS project CBLY01000000 data, contig: NODE_2
GUAACCCACCCUCGUGAUUUGAUAGGCCGGCUUGCGGCGAGGUAAAAGAACAUGCGCUAAAGAGGCCCUGUUUCUCUCCCG